GGGGCUUUUUCGGGCUUUUUUGGGCUUUUUGAGGUUUUUUGUGGUUUAAUUUGUGGCCAUUUAGGGGAUAUUUAUGAGGAUUUUGGGGCCAUUUUUGGGUAUUUUUGAGGAGAUUUUGGGGUUUAUUUUGGGGUCAUUUUUGGGAUUUUUGGUGGAUUUUGGGCAAUUUUGGGCGAUUUUGGGAUCAUUUGGGGGCAUUUUUGGGAAAUUUUGGAGGUUAUUUUUGUGAUUUUUGGGGUAAUUUUGGGGUAUUUUGGGACAUUUUCGGUUUUGGGGGGAAAUUUAGGAGAUUUGGGGGCAUUUGUGGCCAUUUUUGUCUUUUUUUGAGCCUAUUUUGGGGCAUUUUGGGCUAUUUAUGAGAUUUUGGGGGUUAUUUUGGGGCGAUUUUGGGGAUUUUUGGUGGAUUUGGGGACAAUUUAGGGCGAUUUUGGGAUUAAUUGGGGCUUUUUAGGGCAAUUUGUGGGGUUAUUUUUGUGAUUUUUGGGGUAAUUUUGGGGUAUUUGGGGAAGAUUUUCAUUUUUUGGAGGAAAUUUAGGAGAUUUUGGGGCACUUGUGGCCAUUUUUGUCUUUUUUUGAGCCAAUUUUGGGGUUAUUUUGGGGCAUUUGGGGCUAUUUAUGAGAUUUUGGGGGUUAUUUUGGGGUCAUUUUGGGGAUUUUUGGUGGAUUUUGGGGCGAUUUUGGGCGAUUUUGGGAUCAUUUGGGGCUUUUUAGAGCAUUUUUGUGGGUAUUUUUGUGAUUUUUUGGGGGUUAUUUUGGGGCAUUUUUGGGUUUUUUUGGGUCAUUUUUGUGCUUUUUUGGGGGCGUUUUGGGGUUUGGGGUAA
rnacentral:lncRNA from 1 species